rfam:Arthrobacter chlorophenolicus A6 plasmid pACHL01, complete sequence.
GCCUGUAUAGCUCAGUGGCAGAGCGCAUUGCUCAUAACGAUGGUCGUCGCUGGUUCGACCCCAGCUACAGGCA